rnacentral:rRNA from 1 species
CAGCCCUUGACAUUUGGUGCUACUUCCAGAGAUGGAAGGUUCCCUUCGGGGACGCCAGGACAGGUGCUGCAUGGCUGUCGUCAGCUCGUGUCGUGAGAUGUUGGGUUAAGUCCCGCAACGAGCGCAACCCUCGCCCUUAGUUGCCAGCAUUCAGUUGGGCACUCUAGGGGGACUGCCGGUGAUAAGCCGAGAGGAAGGUGGGGAUGACGUCAAGUCCUCAUGGCCCUUACGGGCUGGGCUACACACGUGCUACAAUGGCGGUGACAGUGGGCAGCGAACUCGCGAGAGGGAGCUAAUCUCCAAAAGCCGUCUCAGUUCGGAUUGUUCUCUGCAACUCGAGAGCAUGAAGUUGGAAUCGCUAGAAAUGCGCGUAACAGCAUGACGCGGUGAAUACGUUCCC